UUCCUUCUGGUUGAUGGGGUUGUUAUACCUCAUUGACCAGAAGGAAUCCCUUCUGGUCGAUGAGGCAUAAUAACUCCAUCAACCGGAAGGAA
rnacentral:miRNA from 1 species